AUGGUGUUCGGCCGCACGCCGUUCAAGGGCAAGAACUGCAAGGAGACGUUCUGGAAUGUGCUGCACAGGGAGGUCGAGUUCCCGGGCGACACCCAGCGCCGGAUGCCGGAGCUGACCGACCUCAUCUCGCAGCUGCUGCAGCGGGAUCCCGCGAGGCGGCUCGGGUACGCCGGCGGCACUGACAAGAUCCGGGUGCAGCCGUUCUACGCCGGGAUGGCAUGGGACAUGCUCGCGGAUGUGACCCACCCGCCCUACAUCCCGCCGCCAGCGGAGGACAACGCAGCCGACGGCGAGGGCUUCGACGUGAGGGACUACUUCAAGAAGCUCCACCAGUCGCCGGCACCGCCGCCUCCAGAGUCGGGCUCGUCGUCCUCGUCGUCGUCGGACUUCUCGUCGGUGUUCUGA
rnacentral:rRNA from 1 species